rnacentral:lncRNA from 1 species
GCUAGGGAUUAAGAUGAUUCGUUUGUCAAGCUGCGCGUAGGAGUAAUGCUAGGCGAGAUUGCCAGGGAGAUGUCUUCAAGAAUAGUUCUGGUUAGAAUUGAUUUAUUCCAGUUCAGUUGUAAAUAGAUUUAUUUAUUGGUUAUCAUUUAUUCUUCUUAUCGAGGCUUAACUGAUAAUGUAGUUUAAGUUGUAAUAAUAUUGUAAGUUUUGGUUUCUGAUUUCAAUGCUCUAACCUAUUAGCGAUCCUGUUUUAGGGGGUCAAAGUUAUUUUUAUUUAAAUCUCUUUUAAAAUGUCCAGAUAUUUUAAAUAUCUGUUUUACCUUCUUCCGCAAAUAAAGGUUUUAAAUUGUUUUUCUUUUAGUGGCACCAAAUCAAGACCCCCGGAUUUGAGGGAUGUCACAGAAUCUUCAAAACCGGGAGGUUGUUUUACAUAAACUUCUUCUUCAAGAAUCCCGUUUAAGAAGGCGGAUUUAACAUCCAUUUGAUAUACCUUGAAACCUUUAUGACACGCAAAUGCUAAAAGCAUUCGAAUUGAUUCUAUUCGUGCCACAGGGGCAUAGGUUUCAUCGAAGUCUAUACCUUCCAUUUGAGUAUAUCCUUGAGCGACUAAUCUCGCUUUAUUACGAACUACCGUUCCAUUUUCAUCAAGUUUAUUUCUAAAUACCCAUUCAGUUCCAAUUAUGAAAGUAUCUUCGGGUUUUGGAACGAGUUUUUGUCCUAGUGGCAAUUGGUUAUUUUGUGCAAUAUUCUCUUGAUAUUAUAUCUUUUAAGAAUGUUGAGCAUAGCCAACUAUAUAUGAUUUCAACUUGGUUAACAGUAAAUUGUGGUAUACAGAGGGGUACUCUGCAGGUUUUGAUUUAAGAGGUUGGAUACCUUUUGGGUUUAGUAACAUGAAAAUGAUGUUAAAAGACUUCUAAUAUAGAAGUAUUAUUUAUAAAACUGUUAACCAAUCGGAAUUCAUUUGCUGGACCGUGGUGCCGGUCGUGAGUUACAUGUUACAUUAUUUAAGGCCAAUGUGUGCCUUGGGCCCCUUAAUUCUUGGGACAGGUAGCACCCUGUGCCCGGUGCUUGAUGCUCGACUGAUCACCGUGUCAGCACAACGCACCGUAAGCGAACGAUUUUUCACAGAAUAGUUUUAAAUGAUUAGAUUCUCUUGUAUUUGCCAUACUUUUAUAGAAUUAUAACAGUUGUUCUCCAUUGUUGAAAAUACCUGGCAAGUUACAUACAAAAUCUGAUAUAUUUCAUUCUCUUUUUAUUUAUUACAAUUGUUCUUUUAUAUAUUUGAUGAGCAUAUUGCUCACCCUUGCUAUUCCUUUUAACCUUUCCAGCUAGGGAUUAAGAUGAUUCGUUUGUCAAGCUGCGCGUAGGAGUAAUGCUAGGCGAGAUUGCCAGGGAGAUGUCUUCAAGAAUAGUUCUGGUUAGAAUUGAUUUAUUCCAGU